rnacentral:tRNA from 1 species
GGGGGUAUAGCUCAGCUGGGAGAGCAGCAGACUGAAGU